rnacentral:rRNA from 1 species
UACGAAGGGGGCUAGCGUUGCUCGGAAUUACUGGGCGUAAAGGGCGCGUAGGCGGAUGUUUAAGUCAGAGGUAAAAGCCCAGGGCUCAACCUUGGAACUGCCUUUGAUACUGGACAUCUUGAGUACGGGAGAGGUGAGUGGAACUCCGAGUGUAGAGGUGAAAUUCGUAGAUAUUCGGAAGAACACCAGUGGCGAAGGCGACUCACUGGCCCGUUACUGACGCUGAGGCGCGAAAGCGUGGGGAGCAAACAGG